rnacentral:rRNA from 1 species
UACGAAGGGGGCUAGCGUUGUUCGGAAUUACUGGGCGUAAAGCGCGUGUAGGCGGGUCUUUUAAGUCAGGGGUGAAAUGCCAGGGCUCAACCUUGGAACUGCCUUUGAUACUGGAGACCUUGAGUCCGGGAGAGGUGAGUGGAAUUGCGAGUGUAGAGGUGAAAUUCGUAGAUAUUCGCAAGAACACCAGUGGCGAAGGCGGCUCACUGGCCCGGAACUGACGCUGAGACGCGAAAGCGUGAGGAGCAAACGAGG